rnacentral:rRNA from 1 species
GCCCACACGAAGUCGGAGUUGCUAGUAAUCCCGAAUCAGCAUGUCGGGGUGAAUGCGUUCCCGGGUCUUGUACACACCGCCCGUCACGCCAUGGGAGUUAGGAGUACCCGAAGCCAGUGACCUAACCGCAAGGGAGGAGCUGUCGAAGGUAAGACUGAUGACUGGGGUGAAGUCGUAACAAGGUAAC